rnacentral:rRNA from 1 species
GGAGAUAACAAAUAUACAACUUUCAGCAACGGAUCUCUUGGCUCUCGCAUCGAUGAAGAACGCAGCGAAAUGCGAUAAGUAAUGUGAAUUGCAGAAUUCAGUGAAUCAUCGAAUCUUUGAACGCAUCUUGCGCUCCUUGGUAUUCCGAGGAGCAUGCCUGUUUGAGUGUCAUCAAAAAUUCUCAACCAUGCUGGUUCUUCUGGCAUGGCUUGGAUUUGGGGGUCUGCAGGCUUAAAGUCGGCUCCCCUGAAAAGGAUUAGCGGUAUCUGAGCAGACUCGGCGUGAUAAUUAUCUAUGCUGUUGGCAUGCGCAAGAAUCCUGCUUCUAAACCCGAGUGUUGAAAAAUUUGACCUCAAAUCAGGUAGGACUACCCGCUGAACUUAAGCAUAUCAAUAAGCGGAGGAAAAGAAACUAACAAGGAUUCCCCUAGUAACUGCGAGUGAAGCGGGAAAAGCUCAAAUUU